rnacentral:rRNA from 1 species
GCGUGUGUGCCGUGUCGUGUUUGUCAUCCUUCCAGAGAGCUGCGUCUACCAUUCACUUGGCCGGACGUACGCGAUCUGGAUCGAUUACUUUGAAAAAAUUAGAGUGUUUAAAGCAGGCUUACGCUGUGAAUACAUUAGCAUGGAAUAAUAAUUUAGGACUUCGGUUCUAUUUUGUUGGUUUCUAGGACUGAAGUAAUGAUUGAUAGGGACAGUUGGGGGUGCUAGUAUUCCGCGGCCAGAGGUGAAAUUCUUGGAUUCGCGGAAGACUAACUACUGCGAAAGCAUUCACCAAGGAUGUCUUCUUUAAUCAAGAACGAAAGUUGGGGGAUCGAAGACGAUCAGAUACCGUCGUAGUCUCAACCAUAAACUAUACCGACUAAGGAUCAGUGAACGUUGAUUUACGACUUCAUUGGCACUUUGUGAGAAAUCAAAGUCUUUGGGUUCCGGGGGGAGUAUGGUCGCAAGGCUGAAACUUAAAGGAAUUGACGGAAGGACACCACCAGGAGUGGAACCUGCGGCUUAAUUUGACUCAACACGGGAAAACUUACCAGGUCCAGACACAGGAAGGAUUGACAGAUUGAAGCUCUUUCUUGAUUCUGUGGGGAGUGGUGCAUGGCCGUUCUUAGUUGGUGGAUUGAUCUGUCUGGUUUAUUCCGAUAACGAACGAGACCUUAGUCUGCUAAAUAGUGUUGCGAACCACCUAACGGGUGAAUCCAGGGAGGUACUGGGGCUU